rnacentral:rRNA from 1 species
UACGAAGGGUGCAAACGUUGCUCGGAAUUAUUGGGCGUAAAGGGCCAGUAGGCGGCCAACUAAGUCGGAUGUGAAAUCCCCAGGCUUAACCUGGGAACUGCAUCCGAUACUGGAUGGCUUGAAUUCGGGAGAGGGAUGCAGAAUUCCAGGUGUAGCGGUGAAAUGCGUAGAUAUCUGGAGGAAUACCGGUGGCGAAGGCGGCAUCCUGGACCGACAUUGACGCUGAUGCGCGAAAGCCAGGGGAGCAAACGGG